GAGAAGGUGUUCUUGUUAGACUAAAUCAGUUUGGUUUUUGCAAUAGAGGAGAUACUUUUUGUGCUGGACCCAGUACCAAAUAGAAUUUGGAAUUGAAAUGAACUUAAACAGGAAUUCUGGCUUGUAAUGGUAAGAAGGGUUAUUGCUUGAUGUGUACUUGCAUUGGAGAGAGAGUCAAGUUCUGUCAUUUACCACAUCAUACCCACUCUGAAUGAUGCACCAGAGCCAUUCACAUGUGCUGUCUCUUCUAAAAUGUUCUACUCCACCUUGUCACCAAGUAAGACUCUACUUAUCCUGUACGAAGAUAUCAUCAAUAAUCAACUCCUCUCUGAAGCCUUCUUUCAAUGUGUAUUGAACAUGUGAAUAAGGAAGAAGCCAGUUUUUCAGUCAAGAUGUCAAUCCCUUAUCAGAUACAUCAUUUGCAAGUAUUUUCUCCCAUUCCUCAGGUUGCCUUUUUACUCUGGUUGAUAGUGUCUUUUGAUGCACAAUAGUUUAAAAGAAUUGAAAGCAGGGUGUCAAAGGUGUAGUUGAAUACUCAUGUUCAUAGCAGCAUUAUUCUCAAAAGCUAAAAUGUGGAAGCAACACAAGUCUCCAUCCAAUGGUGCAUGGAUAAGCAAAGCAAAAUGUGGUCUCUACAUACCAUGGAAUAUUAGUCAGUCUUAAGUAUGGAAACACUGAGCCAUGCUACAACACAGAUGAACCCCGAGGGCAUUUACUAAAUGAAGUCAGUCAGACACAAAAGACGAAUACUAUAGUAUUUAGAGUAGUUAAAACUAACAGAACAUAGAAUGGUGGUUGCCAGGGGUUAGGGAAAGGAGGGAAUGACAGAAUGAGGAGUUAGUCUAAAGGUACAAGAGUUUCAGUUUUUCAAGAUGAAAAGAGGUCUGGAGAUG